AACGCACCUUGCGCCCUUUGGUAUUCCGAAGGGCAUGCCUGUUUGAGUGUCAUGAAAACCUCAACCCCUCGGGUUUUGUAACCUGGGUGGGUUUGGACUUGGGUGUCUGCCGGACUUUGGUCUGGCUCACCUCAAAUGAGUUAGUGGGACAGCGAACCCAUGGCUUGACGUAAUAAGUUUCGUCUGAGCCUGGUCGUGGUGCCUGCUUACAACAACCAUAUCUUAUGACUCUGACCUCAAAUCAGGUAGGGCUACCCGCUGAACUUAA
rnacentral:misc_RNA from 1 species